rnacentral:rRNA from 1 species
GGUUGACCUCGGAUCAGGUAGGAAUACCCGCUGAACUUAAGCAUAUCAAUAAGCGGAGGAAAAGAAACCAACAGGGAUUGCCCUAGUAACGGCGAGUGAAGCGGCAACAGCUCAAAUUUGAAAUCUGGCCCCCGGGUCCGAGUUGUAAUUUGUAGAGGAUGCUUUUGGUGCGGUACCUUCCGAGUUCUCUGGAACGAGACGCCAUAGAGGGUGAGAGCCCCGUCUGGUUGGACGCCAAACCUUUGUAAAGCUCCUUCGACGAGUCGAGUAGUUUGGGAAUGCUGCUCUAAAUGGGAGGUAUAUGUCUUCUAAAGCUAAAUAUUGGCCAGAGACCGAUAGCGCACAAGUAGAGUGAUCGAAAGAUGAAAAGCACUUUGAAAAGAGAGUUAAAAAGUACGUGAAAUUGUUGAAAGGGAAGCGCUCAUGACCAGACUUGGGCCCGGUUGAUCAUCCAGGGUUCUCCCUGGUGCACUCUUCCGGCCCAGGCCAGCAUCAGUUCGCUGUGGGGGAUAAAGGCUUCGGGAAUGUGGCUCCCUCGGGAGUGUUAUAGCCCGUCGUGCAAUACCCUGCGGCGGACUGAGGUUCGCGCAUUCGCAAGGAUGCUGGCGUAAUGGUCAUCAGCGACCCGUCUUGAAACACGGACCAAGGAGUCGUCUUCGUAUGCGAGUGUUCGGGUGUCAAACCCCUACGCGUAAUGAAAGUGAACGCAGGUGAGAGCUUCGGCGCAUCAUCGACCGAUCCUGAUGUUCUCGGAUGGAUUUGAGUAAGAGCAUACGGGGCCGGACCCGAAAGAAGGUGAACUAUGCCUGUAUAGGGUGAAGCCAGAGGAAACUCUGGUGGAGGCUCGCAGCGGUUCUGACGUGCAAAUCGAUCGUCAAAUAUGGGCAUGGGGGCGAAAGACUAAUCGAAC